rnacentral:rRNA from 1 species
AGAGUUUGAUCAUGGCUCAGAUUGAACGCUGGCGGCAGGCUUAACACAUGCAAGUCGAGCGGUAGCACAGGGGAGCUUGCUCCCUGGGUGACGAGCGGCGGACGGGUGAGUAAUGUCUGGGAAACUGCCUGAUGGAGGGGGAUAACUACUGGAAACGGUAGCUAAUACCGCAUAACGUCGCAAGACCAAAGAGGGGGACCUUCGGGCCUCUUGCCAUCAGAUGUGCCCAGAUGGGAUUAGCUAGUAGGUGGGGUAAUGGCUCACCUAGGCGACGAUCCCUAGCUGGUCUGAGAGGAUGACCAGCCACACUGGAACUGAGACACGGUCCAGACUCCUACGGGAGGCAGCAGUGGGGAAUAUUGCACAAUGGGCGCAAGCCUGAUGCAGCCAUGCCGCGUGUGUGAAGAAGGCCUUCGGGUUGUAAAGCACUUUCAGCGAGGAGGAAGGUGGUGAGCUUAAUACGUUCAUCAAUUGACGUUACUCGCAGAAGAAGCACCGGCUAACUCCGUGCCAGCAGCCGCGGUAAUACGGAGGGUGCAAGCGUUAAUCGGAAUUACUGGGCGUAAAGCGCACGCAGGCGGUUUGUUAAGUCAGAUGUGAAAUCCCCGGGCUCAACCUGGGAACUGCAUUUGAAACUGGCAAGCUAGAGUCUCGUAGAGGGGGGUAGAAUUCCAGGUGUAGCGGUGAAAUGCGUAGAGAUCUGGAGGAAUACCGGUGGCGAAGGCGGCCCCCUGGACGAAGACUGACGCUCAGGUGCGAAGCGUGGGGAGCAAACAGGAUUAGAUACCCUGGUAGUCCACGCUGUAAACGAUGUCGAUUUGGAGGUUGUGCCCUUGAGGCGUGGCUUCCGGAGCUAACGCGUUAAAUCGACCGCCUGGGGAGUACGGCCGCAAGGUUAAAACUCAAAUGAAUUGACGGGGGCCCGCACAAGCGGUGGAGCAUGUGGUUUAAUUCGAUGCAACGCGAAGAACCUUACCUACUCUUGACAUCCAGAGAACUUUCCAGAGAUGGAUUGGUGCCUUCGGGAACUCUGAGACAGGUGCUGCAUGGCUGUCGUCAGCUCGUGUUGUGAAAUGUUGGGUUAAGUCCCGCAACGAGCGCAACCCUUAUCCUUUGUUGCCAGCGGUUCGGCCGGGCAAGAGCGAUGGGUCGUCGUGGGGGCGGAAUUUCAGCAAAUCAGCGGGGUAUUGCCGCUCGCCGAGCAAAAAUCGCCCGCGCAGGCUGAUUCGCAAAUGAAGGUGAUGGUGGGGAUGACGUCACUCAGCAUAGUGACUAACGACAAAAUGGAUGAAUGACAUGUUACCUAAACAACGCGUCGCCUGGGUAGAAGGCAUGUUGAUGGAACCGCAGCAUUUCCAGCAGCAGGAACGUUUUUU